rnacentral:rRNA from 1 species
AGAGUUUGAUCAUGGCUCAGAAUGAACGCUGGCGGCGUGCUUAACACAUGCAAGUCGAACGGUAGCAGAAGAGAGCUUGCUUUCUUGCUGACGAGUGGCGCACGGGUGAGUAAUGCAUAGGUAACGUGCCCCUUAGUCUGGGAUAGCCACUGGAAACGGUGAAUAAUACCGGAUACUCCUUCUGCCUUAAUGGUAGUCGGGAAAGUUUUUUCGCUAAGGGAUCGGCCUAUGUCCUAUCAGGUAGUUGGUGAGGUAAGAGCUCACCAAGCCAAUGACGGGUAGCGGGUCUGAGAGGAUGAUCCGCCACACUGGUACUGAGACACGGACCAGACUCCUACGGGAGGCAGCAGUGGGGAAUAUUGCACAAUGGACGAAAGUCUGAUGCAGCAACGCCGCGUGGAGGAUGACACAUUUCGGUGCGUAAACUCCUUUUAUGUGAGAAGAUAAUGACGGUAUCACAUGAAUAAGCACCGGCUAACUCCGUGCCAGCAGCCGCGGUAAUACGGAGGGUGCAAGCGUUAUUCGGAAUCACUGGGCGUAAAGGGUGCGUAGGCGGUUUGGAAAGUCAGGUGUGAAAUCCUACAGCUUAACUGUAGAACUGCACUUGAAACUUCCAGACUAGAAUACUGAAGGGGCAGAUGGAAUUAGUGGUGUAGGGGUAAAAUCCGUAGAUAUCACUAGGAAUACCGAAAGCGAAAGCGAUCUGCUGGGAAGUUAUUGACGCUGAGGCACGAAAGCGUGGGGAGCAAACGGGAUUAGAUACCCCGGUAGUCCACGCCCUAAACGAUGAAUGCUAGUCGUCGGAAAGCUUGUCUUUUCGGUGAUGCAGUUAACACAUUAAGCAUUCCGCCUGGGGAGUACGGUCGCAAGAUUAAAACUCAAAGGAAUAGACGGGGACCCGCACAAGUGGUGGAGCGUGUGGUUUAAUUUCGAAGAUACGCGAAAGAACCCUUACCUGGCCCUUGACAAUG